CUGCGGGUUCGAGCCCCGUCAGUCCCG
rnacentral:tRNA from 6 species